GAUGAACGCUGGCGGCGUGCUUAACACAUGCAAGUCGAACGAAGCACUUUAUUUGAUUUCUUCGGAAUGAAGAUUUUGUGACUGAGUGGCGGACGGGUGAGUAACGCGUGGGUAACCUGCCUCAUACAGGGGGAUAACAGUUGGAAACGACUGCUAAUACCGCAUAAGCGCACAGGGUCACAUGACCUGGUGUGAAAAACUCCGGUGGUAUGAGAUGGACCCGCGUCUGAUUAGCCAGUUGGUGGGGUAACGGCCUACCAAAGCGACGAUCAGUAGCCGACCUGAGAGGGUGACCGGCCACAUUGGGACUGAGACACGGCCCAAACUCCUACGGGAGGCAGCAGUGGGGAAUAUUGCACAAUGGGGGAAACCCUGAUGCAGCGACGCCGCGUGAGCGAAGAAGUAUUUCGGUAUGUAAAGCUCUAUCAGCAGGGAAGAAGAAAUGACGGU
rnacentral:rRNA from 1 species